UGACCUCAAAUCGGGUGAGACUACCCGCUGAACUUAAGCAUAUCAUAA
rnacentral:rRNA from 1 species